AGUGAACGCUGGCGGUAGGCCUAACACAUGCAAGUCGAACGGCAGCACAGGAGAGCUUGCUCUCUGGGUGGCGAGUGGCGGACGGGUGAGGAAUACAUCGGAAUCCACUCUGUCGUGGGGGAUAACGUAGGGAAACUUACGCUAAUACCGCAUACGACCUACGGGUGAAAGCAGGGGAUCUUCGGACCUUGCGCGAUUGAAUGAGCCGAUGUCGGAUUAGCUAGUUGGCGGGGUAAAGGCCCACCAAGGCGACGAUCCGUAGCUGGUCUGAGAGGAUGAUCAGCCACACUGGAACUGAGACACGGUCCAGACUCCUACGGGAGGCAGCAGUGGGGAAUAUUGGACAAUGGGCGCAAGCCUGAUCCAGCCAUACCGCGUGGGUGAAGAAGGCCUUGGGGUUGUAAAGCCCUUUUGUUGGGAAAGAAAUCCAGCUGGCUAAUACCCGGUUGGGAUGAUGGUACCCAAAGAAUAAGCACCGGCUAACUUCGUGCCAGCCGCCGCGGUAAAAC
rnacentral:rRNA from 1 species